rnacentral:rRNA from 1 species
AUACGUAGGUGACAAGCGUUAUCCGGAUUUACUGGGCGUAAAGGGCGUGUAGGCGGUCUUGCAAGUCAGAAGUGAAAUUCCUGAGCUCAACUCGGGCGCUGCUUCUGAAACUGCAGGACUUGAGUGCUGGAGGGGAUAGCGGAAUUCCUAGUGGAGCGGUAAAAUGCGCAGAUAUUAGGAAGAACACCGGUGGCGAAGGCGGCUAUCUGGACAGUAACUGACGCUGAGGCGCGAAAGCGUGGGGAGCAAACAGGAUUAGAUACCCUGGUAGUCCACACUGUAAACGAUGAAUGCUAGGUGUAGGAGGUAUCGACCCCUUCUGUGCCGCAGUAAACACAGUAAGCAUUCCGCCUGGGGAGUACGGUCGCAAGAUUAAAACUCAAAGGAAUUGACGGGG